rnacentral:rRNA from 1 species
GACGAACGCUGGCGGCGUGCUUAACACAUGCAAGUCGAACGGAAAGGCCCCUUUGGGGGUACUCGAGUGGCGAACGGGUGAGUAACACGUGAGUAACCUGCCCUUGACUUCGGGAUAACUUCAGGAAACUGGGGCUAAUACCGGAUAGGAAUCCUUGCUGCAUGGUGGGGGUUGGAAAGCUUCGGCGGUUUUGGAUGGACUCGCGGCUUAUCAGCUUGUUGGUGGGGUAGUGGCUUACCAAGGCUUUGACGGGUAGCCGGCCUGAGAGGGCGACCGGCCACAUUGGGACUGAGAUACGGCCCAGACUCCGACGGGAGGCAGCAGUGGGGAAUAUUGCACAAUGGGCGGAAGCCGGAUGCAGCAACGCCGCGUGCGGGAGGACGGCCUUCGGGUUGUAAACCGCUUUCAGCAGGGGCGAAGCUUGUGGUGACGGUACCUGCAGAAGAAGCACCGGCUAACUACGUG